AUCCAACCUGCCGUCUACUCUUGGCCAGCCUUCUGAAAGGAAGAUUAAUCCAGGAUGGGAUCAUGAGUUCACAUGUCCGCAUGAUUAAAGGUAUUUUCCGGUAGACGAUGGGGAUGCGUUCCAUUAGAUAGUAGGCGGGGUAACGGCCCACCUAGUCAACGAUGGAUAGGGGUUCUGAGAGGAAGGUCCCCCACAUUGGAACUGAGACACGGUCCAAACUCCUACGGGAGGCAGCAGUGAGGAAUAUUGGUCAAUGGGCGAUAGCCUGAACCAGCCAAGUAGCGUGAAGGAUGACUGCCCUAUGGGUUGUAAACUUCUUUUAUAAAGGAAUAAAGUCGGGUAUGCAUACCCGUUUGCAUGUACUUUAUGAAUAAGGAUCGGCUAACUCCGUGCCAGCAGCCGCGGUAAUACGGAGGAUCCGAGCGUUAUCCGGAUUUAUUGGGUUUAAAGGGAGCGUAGAUGGAUGUUUAAGUCGGUUGUGAAAGUUUGCGGCUCAACCGUAAAAUUGCAGUUGAUACUGGAUGUCUUGAGUGCAGUUGAGGCAGGCGGAAUUCGUGGUGUAGCGGUGAAAUGCUUAGAUAUCACGAAGAACUCCGAUUGCG
rnacentral:rRNA from 1 species